rnacentral:tRNA from 1 species
UAUGGCAGAUUAGUGCGGUGAAUUUAAGCUUCAUAUAUAAAGUUUAUCACUUUUUUUAGAAAGUUU